UACGUAGGGUGCAAGCGUUACCCGGAAUCACUGGGCGUAAAGGGCGUGUAGGCGGAUGUGUAAGUCUGGUUUUAAAGACUGCGGCUCAACCGCAGGGAUGGACUGGAUACUGUAUAUCUUGACCUCUGGAGAGGAAACCGGAAUUCCUGGUGUAGCGGUGGAAUGCGUAGAUACCAGGAGGAACACCAAUGGCGAAGGCAGGUUUCUGGACAGAAGGUGACGCUGAGGCGCGAAAGUGUGGGGAGCAAACAGG
rnacentral:rRNA from 1 species